UACGUAGGGUGCAAGCGUUGUCCGGAAUUAUUGGGCGUAAAGAGCUCGUAGGCGGUCUGUCACGUCGGCUGUGAAAUCCCGAGGCUCAACCUCGGGUCUGCAGUCGAUACGGGCAAACUAGAGUAUUGCAGGGGAGACUGGAAUUCCUGGUGUAGCGGUGAAAUGCGUAGAUAUCUGGAGGAACACCGGUGGCGAAGGCGGCAUCCUGGACCGACACUGACACUGAGGAGCGAAAGCCAGGGGAGCAAACGGG
rnacentral:rRNA from 1 species